GACAGAUGACCAGCAGUGUCAAAUAAUAGAGGUUUAUAGAGGGUGCAAUAGUUCAGCACCUCAGGAGUAAAUGCCAGUUGGCUCUUCAUAGCUGAGCGUUUAGAGGUUGAGACAGUAGGUCAGGUAGCGAGAGACAGGAUCAAACAGCGGGUCUGGGACAAGGUAGUACCUCUGGUGAGCCUUGAGCAGGUCAGGGUUCCAUAGCUGCAGACAGAAACAGCAGAGACUGGAUCAGCAGCACGACCAGGUGGACUGGAGACAGGGACAGCCAGGAGUCGUCAGGCCAGGUAGUCCUGAGGCAGGGUCCUAGAUCUCAUGCCAUUCAGUAAUACAUGUCCUUUGAUCUCCUUUUUACUGGACACUGUUGAUAGCCAAUUUUCCCAAGCUAAUCACUGAUUGGCCGACUACAAGGAUGUGGUCAGGUUGAGACUUCUGAGUCAUAAUAACACAGAACACACACAUCAGAUUGCAAGGGCAAGUACAAUACGUGAGUUACUUGAUGUGGAAUAGAGUUCCAUGUAGUCAUGGCUCUAUGUAGUACUGUGCUCCUCCCAUAGUCUGUUCUGUUUAGGUUGGUGUGUAGUCAAGGCUUUGUCAUUAAAAUGAUAUUGUGCCUAUUUUUCAGAUCUGCCCACCUGCUCAGUGGGUGACAGGUCUUUCCACCAAGCUGUUCCAGGCCUGGAGUGGCAUGCUGGAACUUCCAGAGGCUUCUACACCUGAAGCAUUGUGAUGUGGUCCAGAUCUGACAGCACUAUUAGCUCAACCACAGUCUUCACAGCUGCAGUCGUCUGCCCCUGCACCUGCUACACCGGCCACGACAGCUGAUACAGAUCUGCCAGCCCCAGCAGUUCAGCUGCAGUCUCAGCAGUCCUCUGCUGUGGUCUUUCAUUUACCGGCUGCACCAGUUCCUACUACACUGGCCGUGAAGGGAGGAACUGUUGAGGAGACCCAGAUGGAUACAGAUCUGCCUGACAGCCUCACCCAGAAGACACUGGGCCUAUCAAGACUGACAAAGCAGAGAUGGGUGGCUGACAAGGAAAAAUAAAACACACACACACAUUAUCCACAAUACGCAGGGCUGCGGGUUUUGGCAGAGAGCUACACACAGAGAGGCCUCAAUAUUCAGCUAUACAGUGAGUAUAAGUACAAUGGCACGUCAGCAAAUGAAUAACAACAUAAUCAAUGGUGGGGGUCUUUAGAAGACCUCCAAAAUCAACUUUAACCCUUCACAUGCCUCCCUCUCACACACACAUUAGACCCAAUGUAAAUAAAUUGUAAUAACUUGUUUAUUUUAUUUGAGGAAAAUAUCUGUAGUAAAGUACAAUCACAGUUAAAGCAAUGUCUUUGGUUUAUUGGAUAUUUCUCUGAAUACAAAGUGUGACCAGAAGGAAGUCGGCAGACCUGCAACCCCUGGACUGUGUAGGUUUUGUCAUCUGGAGCUGAAAAAUAGAGAGAUGGGAGGAAGAGUGGAGUUUAAAGGUUUAUCAUUAAUAACAGACACAAUUCUAGAAUUAAUUCAUAUUAGAAUAUAUUACAUAAUGUUUCUGGAACAUGCUUAAUCCUGACAUUGUCAAGGCCAUACAAAUAUUGUAUACCAAACAAUUUAAAAUUUUUAAUUUUACAUGACAUAUCCAUUUAUAUGAUAUCCACAUUUGUGGCUAUUGAUGAUAUCUGUGUUUUCUGUGAAAAAGGUGAGAAUCUGUCCCACUUGUUCUUUAAUGUAAAUUUGUGUCAGAAUUCUGGGAAAACUUUGCAAAAUACUUAUUUACCAUUAUGAACACGACCCAUGUUUUUGACAUGAAAGAUAUAUGUUCCUAUUGCAAUGAUAACAAGACCAUUGAAAUGAUUGUGAAUUUUUUUAUUCUUGUUGCCAAAUAGUUUAUACACAGACAAAAAUUCUAUACCAAAAUUACAAAUUUUUCUGAUUGAAUUUAACUAUCUUAUUAAAACAUUAACCCCAGUGAAUAACAACAAGAAUAACAUUUUCCUGAAUCAUUAUAGAUUUUUUCAGAGUGAUUACAAUUGCACUAGAAUUGUUUAUUUUUUUAUUACUUCAUUGAUAUUGUUUGUAUGUUUUAGUAUUUUCUCGUUAAUACCUGCGUUCUGUUUUAUAUGAUGUGUCGUGUCUUUGGGGUACGAUUAAACUGAAGACAGGUUUAUCAAUUAACUCCCUGUAAUUAUUAUCACGCAAUUAAACUGAUUAAUCGUUU
rnacentral:lncRNA from 8 species